rnacentral:rRNA from 1 species
GACGAACGCUGGCGGCGUGCCUAAUACAUGCAAGUCGAACGCAGUGGGGACGGGUGAGUAACACGUGGGUAACCUCCCAUCAGAGGGGAUAACACUUGGAAACAGGUGCUAAACCGAUACUGAUGGAUGGACCCGCGGUGCAUUAGGUAGUUGGUGAGGAAACGGCCCACCAAGGCCACGAUGCAUAGCCGACGUGGAAGGGUGAGCGGCCACACUGGGACGGAGACACGGCCCAGACUCCUACGGGGGGCAGCAGUAGGGAAUCUUCGGCAAUGGGGGGAACCCUGACCGAGCAAAGCCGCGUGAGUUAAGAAGGUUUUCGGAUCGUAAAGCUCUGUUGUUAAGGAAGCGGUACUUAACCAGAAAGGGACGGCUAACUACGUGCCAGCAGCCGCGGUAAUUC